rnacentral:rRNA from 1 species
UACGUAGGGUGCAAGCGUUGUCCGGAAUUAUUGGGCGUAAAGAGCUCGUAGGCGGCCUGUUGCGUCCGCUGUGAAAUCCCAGGGCUCAACCCUGGGCGUGCAGUGGAUACGGGCAGGCUAGAGUUCGGUAGGGGAGUCUGGAAUUCCUGGUGUAGCGGUGAAAUGCGCAGAUAUCAGGAGGAACACCGGUGGCGAAGGCGGGACUCUGGGCCGAUACUGACGCUGGAGGAGCGAAAGCGUGGGGAGCGAACAGG